rnacentral:lncRNA from 1 species
CAGAGGUUUCUCCUCUAGGGUCCCUAGCGUAGAGACAUCGCCCUAUACGAUCGAGCUUAAAGGAAGGCAGGGAUGCUACCAGGACAGCUUAAUCCAUUUCCAUGGGUCAAGCUUACAUGCGGCUUUCCCUUUCGGGAAACCCCAAGCACUUAGCACAAACCUUGAUUACCUUACAAACCGAGGGACGAGCUCCAACGGCCUCCCUUUAUUCUAGUGGUGGUAGUACAGAGGUGGAGUAAUACAGCGGUAGAUUCUAAAAUAUGGUGGCUAAUUCUAUCUCUCUCAGAGAGUGGUGGUGGAUGUCUUCAUGAGUGGAGUGUGGGUGGAGGUCUUCGGUGGUGGAGUGUGUCUUCGUGAUUCUUGGUGAUGCUCUGGUUGUGGUCUGGUUGAUGCCGUAGUGUGUUAAUUUUACCUUUACAGGUAUUCUUAUUCCUACAAUUUCUUUAAAUGGUAAUCUAACUAUGUAUUUGCUGCCAAAAUUAAUUAUAGCAUCUUUUAAUUGUAUAGCCUUAUCAUUAUUUUUAUCAACUAUGGCUUGAUCUUUAAACUCAGUGUUGCCACUAACAUUUCCUUCAAUCUUAUUAUUAUUAAAUUCUAUUUUACUUCUUAGAUCUUCCAACUCAGCUUCUAAGAUAUUUACUCUAUUUUCUAAAUUUCUAACUCUACUUGCUAGUAUUUUAUCUUCUGCUACUAUUUCUAUUUCUUGUCUCCAUUUCUGAUUAGCAUUCCUUAAACAUGAAGCACAUGCUUGUUUUAAACAUACACUACAUGUAAAUCUAUUAUCUUGACUAGGAUAAUAUAUACAAAAAGCACAUUUGAUAUUAUAAUCACCUCUUCCUUUUAUCCAAUCAUGCUCACAAUCUCCUUGAUCCAUUAAUUCAGUUUUAGCUUCUUUCGAAUCACUUGUUUCUUCAUCUUUUAUUUCUAGCGCAUCCAUAGCAUUUUCUAUAUUAUGUAUUUCCUCUUCACCAAGAGAGUUUAUAAAAUCAUUGUGACUCUGCAUAUUAUUUUCUUCUUCUUCAUAUCUUUCUAAAAGAUACCUUUCAUCAACCUUCUUUUGGGCUUCUUUAUCAAUAGUGGAAUCUUUCAUGAUAUCACUUUGCGGAACUUCUUUUGCUUUAUAUCUUCAGAAUUAAAAUGUUUUUGCCCAUUUUUUCUUAAUUUUGCAUAUAAUGGCCCAGCUAGUUUUGCUAAGUUUUCUAUGUAAUUUCUAGCAUAAUUUACUAUACCUAAAAAUUGCUGCAAGGUUUUCUUAUCAUUCAUGACAUCAGGAAAUUGCAAAAUUUUCUUUGCAAUAUGAUCUUGUAAAUAAAUUUUUCCCUCUCCUAUUUCAUGGCCUAAGAAAUUUAUCUUUUCUUUGCAUAUUUCCAUCUUCUUUUUAGAAAGUAUUAACCCAUGCUGCUCUACCUUUCUAAAGAACGUUUCCAAAUGAGCUAUAUGGUCUUUAUAAGAUUUUGAAAAAACUAAUAAAUCAUCUAUAUAAACCAAUAUGAAGUCUUGAUUUUCAUUAAAGAUAUUCUGCAUUUUUCUUUGAAACAGAGCAGGGGCAUUUUUUAGUCCUAAUGGCAUUACCAACCAUUCAAAAUGACCUUGAGGACAUGUGAAAGCAGUCCAACCUAUUGAUUCUUCUGCCAUUUUUACUUGCCAAAAUCCAACUUUUAAAUCAAAUUUUGAGAAAUAUUUGCUUCCUUGUAUUCUAUUUAUCCAUUCUUGCUUAUUUGGGAUAUUAUAUCCGUCAUCUAUUGUAUUAUCAUUUAAUCUUUUAUAAUUAAUAACCAUCCUUGACUUUUCUCUGGCUAUUUCAGCAUGAUUUCUAACUAUAAAGGCUGCUGACCUAUGGGGACUUCUGCUUUCAGUUAAAGUUCUAUGGGAACAAUGGGUAGAAACUUAUCCUCAUUAUUAUGAAGAAUUAAAAAGAGCUGGUAGCAACCCUUAUAAUUUUGCAAAUAUCAUAUCAAGUAUUGUUAUAGAUGAAGAUCCAGAAUUAGGUUAUACUGCAUUACAAAAUGAAAGAUUGAAGGAAAUAGAGAAAUUGACUUUAACAAAUUGGAAAGGAAUAAAAGAGUUCUCUCAGCAUUAUUUGUAUAACCCCACAACUGCUAAGCAAGGCUAUAAUAAGAGUAUAGUUGAAAGAUAUUUUAAUAAACUACCAGAUCCUUUAGGAUCUAUGAUAUUUGAAGAAUAUAAAAAGGAAUCUAAUGGAAGGGAAUAUAAUAUUUCUCAGGCUAUAACAUUUGUUUUUAAGCAACUAAGAAAAAUAUGCACAAGCAUACAAGCUCAAAGGUCAAUGAAGCAAUCAGAUUACAACUUUUGUAAUAAAAUAGUUCAAAUACCAUUGACAUAUGGAGAAGAGAAAUAUAGAAAUAAGAAAUACCCUAAAAAUUAUAAAAAGGGAAAUGUAAAAACAAAGAAAAGAUAUUUCCUAAGGAGAUCAGAUAAUAGAGCUCCUUUCCUUCACAAGAGAAAUGUAAGAAGAUAUAAUCCUAGGAAAAAUUAUGAUAGUACUUGUAGAUGCUUUAUUUGCAAUUCUCCAGAUCAUUUAAGUAAAACUUGUCCUAAUAAGGAUAAGAAGAGAUAUUCUAACAAGCAAGAAGAGCAAGAAAAGGUGUUAAUUAUAGAUAGUGUUAAUGAAAAUAUUUUGGUAUGUGAUGAUGAUAUAAUGGAUGAUGAAUCUAUAUAUUCAAUAAUAGAAACAGAUGAGAUUGAAUAUAAUGAAGAAGAUGAAUCGAGUGAUGAAGAGAUGAACUUGAUUGAGGAACUAGCAGGGUUAAAAAUAGAAAUGAUGGAUCAAGUAAUUCAGGAUCAUAAAAGAGAUGACGAUAAUAUAAAUUGUGUAUUUUGUAUAUAUUAUCAAGAUCCAGGAAAAAGGGCUACUUGUAGUUUAUGUAUAAAGCAGGCAUGUAGAUCAUGCUUAGAACAACCAAGUGACAAGAAAGUAGUCAAUACAAAAUGUGAGGAAAAUAAGAUCAGUCCGAAGGAGGACUCUUCAAAUGAUAAAAGAAAUAAUAAAUAUUUAACCAAUACUCCACACGAGUUUCUUAUCCCUAGGAUAAGUUUUAAGACUGAACAAGUGUUGGCAUAUUUUACACAAGAUAUUAUAGAUCUAAUAUGGAAGAAAUAUGCUGAAAGACAGUACAAAACAUUUCAGGAUAUACAAAAUUACUUCAUGAGGCUAUAUCAAGGUAUAGAAAGGAAUUUGGGAAUAAUAGUUAUUAUAAAUACCUUUCCUUUGCUUCAUCUUGAUGAUAAGUUAAUUGUUAAGCCUCAUCAUAAAUUUAUAAUACUUAAGGCUGAUAUAAACCUAAAAUAUUUUACAAAUAUACAAAGGCAUACAGGAGAAGAUAUUUCUUUACAAACUAUUAUUGAUCAUGGGUUAGUCCGAGAUAUUUAUGGAACAUUGGAGGAAAUACUUCAAUCUGAUUUAGGAAAGGCUAUUAAAGAAGCAUGCAAAAGAUUGGCGUGUGUUCAAGGAAAGUAUAAAAUAAAAUACUUUUCUAACCCACCAAAAUUUACACUACCAUUGAGACCAGCAAGUCAUGAUAUAUAUAUUAUAAAAGGUUCAUAUAAAUUCCCUACGAUAUGGUCUUCAGAAACAUGGUACAAUUAUGAAGAAAUACGUGCCAAAAAUAAUCAUGAUAAUUGGAGAAUUUUCAGUGAAGCAAAAGAAAUAGAAGGAAAUACUAAAUUCAAUACUGAGUACCAUAUGAUGUAGCAAAACAAAAUAACAAAAAUAUUUUUACGAGAAUAUUAUGGAAGGAAUAGUAUAAUAUCAAAAGAAGUAGGAAGGCUACUUAAGCCAAAUUAUGGAAUGGAAUGCCAGUUAAGAAAAGAAUAUCGUGAAUUACUGUCAUGGUAUCAACUGUGGCAACCAGAGGAACCGGAUAUUGAAGAAGAAGAAUAGAAAUACAGUUCGCAUAAAAGAGUAUUUUAUCACACAAGGGAAUAAAUCUCCAGUGUUGUUAAAAUGUUAAUAACAAUUCGGCUGGGGCAGAAUAAUACUACAUGUCAUGAUGUUCUGAUUGAAGUCUGCGACGUCAAUCAUUCGGGCGUGGAAGACCAUACCAAGCAGCAUCCGGAAUAUCACGAGAAGACAGUACGCGAUAGAGGACAAGGCAAAAAGAAUAAACAACAACUCUACUGUACCCAGGACAAUUAUUGAGGAGCGGAGAGCCGUCCAAGUGUCCAGGCAAUAGAAGAGGAGAAUAGUUGAAGGCACCAGAAGCCUUAAGCACGAAGCAACUUCAGAAGCCUCUGCCGCGACUAUAAAAGGAGGUACCGGGUGAAGCAUUGGAGGCACCACCACCGCAGCACGACACCACACUACGACAUCAACCAGAUCACAACCAAAGCAUCACCAAGAAUCACGAAGACACACUGCACCACCGAAGACCCCCACUCAUACUCCACUCAUGAAGACAUCCACCACCACUCUCUGAGACAAAGAAUUAGCCACCAUACUUUAGAAUCUACCGCUGUAUUACUCCACCUCUGUACUACCACUACUAGAAUAAAGGGAGGCCGUUGGAGCUCGUCCCUCGGUUUGUAAGGUAAUCAAGGUUUGUGCUAAGUGCUUGGGGUUUCCCGAAAGGGAAAGCCGCAUGUAAGCUUGUCCUGUGGAAAUGGAUUAAGCUGUCUUGGCAGCAUCCCUGCCUUCCUUUAAGCUCAUUCGUAUGGGGUGAUGUCUCUACGCUAGGGACCCUAGAGGAGAAACCUCUGCGCGUGUCGUUCUCGUGUUAGCCCUGGUAGCGGCGUUUGAGGAGAACCCUGUGUGCGCAGAGAAGUGUUCCCUUCGGGUGGAACUGUCUGGGGAGACGAUAGAGCCUGAGUCCUGUUUGAGCGUGGCUGGGGACGGUGAGGGUGCAGUCCGGGCUGGCCUGGUUCUGAAGCGAGCCAGCGAGGCAUACGGUGAGUACCGAGUAGGACUGUCACAAGCAUAGCAGCACGUCCUGCUGAAUCUUCGGUCUCGCCAACCCGCAAAGAUCCUGAGAAUAGGCUUAAUUAAGGAAUAUACCUAAUCACGCACCCGCGCGUGCUCGUAUCCCUGAAAGAGACCCCGAAUAGUAGCUCAAUAGUGCGCAAUAGUGAGUGAAUAGUGGCUGAAUAGUGCCGCCACCCAUAGGUGCUCCAUCCACUCCCGGUGAGUGCUCGGGCACUAUUCAUAUUCCCGAAUUUGAAUAGUGAGCUGAAUUUAAAUAGUGCCGCGAAUUUGAAUAGUGUUCAUCGAAUUUGAAUAGUGCUGUGAAUAGUAACUCGAAAUUUGAAUUCCGAAAUUUUUCGUAGUCGCUCGUUCCCUCGCCCUUGAUCGUAUUAUCCCCUCGUCCAAUACUGGUAUCAGAGCCAGGCAUGCGGUGAGUACCGAGUAGGACUGUCACAAGCAUAGCAGCACGACCGGUUGAAUCUUCGGUCUCGCCAACCCGCAAAGAUCCUGAGAAUAGGCUUAAUUAAGGAAUAUACCUAAUCACGCACCCGCGCGUGCUCGUAUCCCUGAAAGCGACCCCGAAUAGUAGCUCAAUAAUGCGCAAUAGUGAGUGAAUAGUGGCUGAAUAGUGCCGCCACCCAUAGGUGCUCCACCCACUCCCGGUGAGUGCUCGGGCACUAUUCAUAUUCCCGAAUUUGAAUAGUGAGCUGAAUUUAAAUAGUGCCGCGAAUUUGAAUAGUGUUCGUCGAAUUUGAAUAGUGCUAUGAAUAGUAACUCGAAAUUUGAAUUCCGAAAUUUUUCGGAGUCGCUCGUUCCCUCGCUUUUGAUCGUCACGAGGAGACAGUGCGCGAUAGAGGACAAGGCAAAAAGAAUAAACAGCAACUCUACUAUACCCAGGACAAUUAUUGAGGAGCGGGGAGCCGUCCAAGUGUCCAGGCAACAGAAGAGGAGAAUAGUUGAAGGCACCAGAAGCCUUAACCACACUACGACAUCAACCAGAUCACAACCAGAGCAUCACCAAGAAUCACGAAGACACACUCCACCACCGAAGACCUCCACCCACACUCCACUCAUGAAGACAUCCACCACCACUCUCUGAGAGAGAUAGAAUUAGCCACCAUAUUUUAGAAUCUACCGCUGUAUUACUCCACCUCUGUACUACCACCACUAGAAUAAAGGGAGGCUGUUAGAGCUCGUCCCUCGGUUUGUAAGGUAAUCAAGGUUUGUGCUAAGUGCUUGGGGUUUCCCGAAAGGGAAAGCCGCAUGUAAGCUUGACCCGUGGAAAUGGAUUAAGCUGUCCUGGUAGCAUCCCUGCCUUCCUUUAAGCUCGUUCUUAUGGGGCGAUGUCUCUACACUAGGGACCCUAGAGGAGAAACCUCUGCGUGUGUCGUUCUCGUGUUACCCCUGGUAGCGGCGUUUGAGGAGAACCCUGUGUGCGCAGAGAAGUGUUCCCUUCGGGUGGAACUGCCUAGGGAGACGGUAGAGCCUGAGUCCUGUGUGAGCGUGGCUGGGGACGGUGAGGCUGCAGGCCGGGCUGGCCUGGUUCUGAAGCGAGCCAGCGAGGCAUGCGGUGAGUACCGAGUAGGACUGUCACAAGCAUAGCAGCACGUCCGGCUGAAUCUUCGGUCUCACCAACCCGCAAAGAUCCUGAGAAUAGACUUAAUUAAGGAAUAUACCUAAUCACGCACCCGCGUGUGCUCGUAUCCCCUGAAUGCGACUCCGAAUAGUAGCUCAAUAGUGCGUAAUAGUGAGUGAAUAGUGGCUGAAUAGUGCCGCCACCCGUAGGUGCUCCAUCCACUCCCGGUGAGUGCUCGGGCACUAUUCAUAUUCCCGAAUUUGAAUAGUAAGCUGAAUUUAAAUAGUGCCGCGAAUUUGAAUAGUGUUCGCCGAAUUUGAAUAGUACUAUGAAUAGUAACUCGAAAUUUGAAAUCCGAAAUUUUUCAGGGUCGCUCGUUCCCUCGCCCUCGAUCGAGAUUAACAUACCAGUAUUGGACGAGGGGAUAAUACGAUCAAGGGCGAGGGAACUAGCGACUCCGAAAAAUUUCGGAAUUCAAAUUUCGAUUACUAUUCACAGCACUAUUCAAAUUCAACAAACACUAUUCAAAUUCGCGGCACUAUUUAAAUUCAGCUCACUAUUCAAAUUCGGGAAUAUGAAUAGUGCCCGAGCACUCACCGGGAGUGGGUGGAGCACCUAUGGGUGGCGGCACUAUUCAGCCAAUAUUCACUCACUAUUGCGCACUAUUGAGCUACUAUUCGGGGUCGCUUUUAGGGAUACGAGCACGCGCGGGUGCGUGAUUAGGUAUAUUCCUUAAUUAAGCCUAUUCUCAGGAUCUUUGCGGGUUGGCGAGACCGAAGAUUCAGCUGGUCGUGCUGCCAUGCUUGUGACAGUCCUACUCGGUACUCACCGCAUGCCUCGCUGGCUCGCUUCAGAACCAGGCCAGCCCGGUCUGCACCCUCACCGUCCCCAGCCACGCUCACACAGGACUCAGGCUCUACCGUUUCCCCAGGCAGUUCCACUCGAAGGGAACACUUCUCUGCGCACACAGGGUUCUCCUCAAACGCCGCUACCAGGGCUAACACGAGAACGAGACACGCAGAGGUUUCUCCUCUAGGGUCCCUAGCGUAGAGACAUCGCCCCAUAAGAACGAGCUUAAAGGAAGCCAGGGUUGCUACCAGGACAGCUUAAUCCAUUUCCAAGGGUCAAGCUUACAUGCAGCUUUCCCUUUCGGGAAACCCCAAGCACUUAGCACAAACCUUGAUUACCUUACAAACCGAGGGACGAGCUCCAACGGCCUCCCUUUAUUCUAGUGGUGGUAGUAAAGAGGUGGAGUAAUACAGCGAAGAUUCUAAAAUAUGGUGGCUAAUUCUAUCUCUCUCAGAGAGUGGUGGUGGAUGUCUUCAUGAGUGGAGUGUGGGUGGAGGUCUUCGGUGGUGGAGUGUGUCUUCGUGAUUCUUGGUGAUGCUCUGGUUGUGGUCUGGUUGAUGUCGUAGUGUGGUGCAUCCAAUGCUUCACCCGGUACCUCCUUUUAUAGUCGCGGAAGAGGCUUCUGGAGUUGCUUCGAGCUUAGGGCUUCUGGUGCCUUCAACUAUUCUCCUCUUCUGUUGCCUGGACACUUGGACGGGUCCGCGCUCCUCAAUAAUUGUCCUGGGUACAGUAGAGUUGCUGUUUAUUCUUUUUGCCUUGUCCUCUAUCGCGCACUGUCUCCUCGUGAUAUUCUGGAUGCUGCUCGAGCGACUCCGAAAAAUUUCGGAUUUCAAAUUUCGAGUUACUAUUCACAGUACUAUUCAUAUUCGGGAAUAUGAAUAGUGCCCGAGCACUCACCGGGAGUGGGUGGAGCACCUAUGGGUGGCGGCACUAUUCAGCCACUAUUCACUCACUAUUGCGCACUAUUGAGCUACUAUUCGGG